GUCCACGCCGUAAACGAUGGAUGCUAGCCGUUGGUGGGUUUACCCUUCAGUGGCGCAGCUAACGCAUUAAGCAUCCCGCAUGGGGAGUACGGUCGCAAGAUUAAAACUCAAAGGAAUUGACGGGGGCCCGCACAAGCGGUGGAGCAUGUGGUUCAAUUCGAAGCAACGCGCAGAACCUUACCAGCCCUUGACAUGGCAGGACGGUUCCCAGAGAUGGGUUCCUUCUCGCAAGAGACUUGCACACAGGUGCUGCAUGGCUGUCGU
rnacentral:rRNA from 1 species